GAACGCUGGCGGCGUGCUACUACAUGCAGUCGAACGCUUUUGUUUUCACCGGAGCUUGCUCCACCGAAAACAAAAGAGUGGCGGACGGGUGAGUAACACGUGGGUAACCUGCCCUCAAGCGGGGGAUAACACUUGGAAACAGGUGCUAAUACCGCAUAACAAUCAGAAUCGCAUGAUUUUGAUUUGAAAGGCGCUUUUGCGUCACUUGAGGAUGGACCCGCGGUGCAUUAGCUAGUUGGUGAGGUAACGGCUCACCAAGGCCACGAUGCAUAGCCGACCUGAGAGGGUGAUCGGCCACACUGGGACUGAGACACGGCCCAGACUCCUACGGGAGGCAGCAGUAGGGAAUCUUCGGCAAUGGACGAAACGUCUGACCGAGCAACGCCGCGUGAGUGAAGAAGGUUUAUCGGAUCGUAAAACUCUGUUGUUAGAGAAGAACAAGGGUGAGAGUAGAAUGUUCACCCCUUGACGGUAUCUAACCAGAAAGCCACGGCUAACUACGUGCCAAGCAGCCGCGGUAAUACGUAGGUGGCAAGCGUUGUCCGGAUUUAUUUGGGCGUAAAGCGAGCGCA
rnacentral:rRNA from 1 species